CUUUGAAAUAAAACUGACUGAAGGAUUUGGAAAAACAUGCUUUAGCAAAUAAAACAUUUUACGCGCUCGACCCACUGAUGCUAGACAUUGCUCUGACCAUCCUAACUUAUCAUUUACAAUGACCCCUAGAUCUUUGGUUGAGGUUUUUACACUCAGGAGUGUGCCAUUUAUAUGGUAAAGGUACUUUGGGUUGUUGUGGCCACACUGAAGUACACAGCAUUUUGCAAUAUUUAGUGGUAUUUGCCACUUCUCGCUCCAUUGGAAGAUUAAAUUAAGUUGGUCUUGCAAGUCCGUGACAAGUGGGUUAGCAAAUAACUUAAUAUCAUCCGCAUAUGCUGAAUAGCUGUCCAGUGAAAACAAUAAAUCUGCUGUAUAUAACAAGAAUAAAAUUGGUCCAAGAACUGAUCCCUGUGGGACCCCACUUAAUACUGGUUUAGAGUACGAAAAUUUACCACAGACUUUUACACAAUAGUUUCGAUUUGAUAGAAACGCUCGGAUCCAAUCAAGCAAAUUUCCUGUUACACCAUAGGACUCCAGUUUUGCUAACAAGAGAUUGUGAGGGACUUUAUCAAAGGCUUUACUAAAAUCAAGGUAAAUUAUGUCUACAGGUUGGUUAGUGUCUAACAUUUUUGUCCAUAGAUUUGUGCAGGAUAGCAAAUUUGUGACAACUGACCUACCUGGUAAAAAGCCGUGCUGAUGCUCAGCAUGUCGACGUGAGACUUACAGGUCUAUAGUUAGCAGGAUCAAGUUUAUCUCCUGACUUGUACAAAGGCGUGAUUGUUGCUUGCAACCACUCGUAGGGCAAAGUGCCUUGUAAGAAUGAUUUUGUCAUCAUUUUGGCAAGUGGGCCCGACAACGAAGCAGCACAAGUUCUCAGGAGUUUGGGAGGUAUCUGAUCCGGACCUGGAGCUGUAUUUAAUUUAAUGGCACAGAGUUGGCUUUUUACCAGAUCCGGAGUAAAAUUAAUAUAAGACAACCCACUAAAUGUAGCAGCAAAACUGUCCGCUAAAGUGUUUGCAGUUUCUGUAUGAUCGGAGCAGAGUAGACCUGAAGCAUUUCGUACUAAAGGGACCGACACACGACUAGAGAUAAAUUUACGUACAUGGGAAUAAAAUAGUUUUGGUUUAUUUAAUAUAGAAUUUUCAUAAUUACACCUGGCUAUUUGUAAAUCAGAUUUUAGUUGGUUAGAAAAUCUUUUAUAAGCAGAAAAAUUAUCUUCAGUAGGCUUCCUUUUAAAUUUUUUCCAUAAUUUAGCUUUGUAUUUUAUUUUGUCAAGCAUGUGUUGAUUUAUCCACGGUUUAUCUUUUCUCAGUCGGUUUGUAAACAGUCUGGAAUUUGUUGUAAUGCAAGUUUGUAAAAUCGAUUUAAAAUGUUUCCAUUGUUCUUCCGCAUUUAGUGAAUCUAAACCAUUCCAGUCGUAAGUCAAGAGACUUUCGUCUAUGCGAGUGUAGUCAACAAUUGAUGUUGUUUUAAUUCUUGCAUUUGGCUCUGAAUAUAUCAUAAUUUGUAACUCAAUUUCGAUUUUUGAAUGAUCAGAUGUACCUACAGGAUUCGAAACGUUUAAAGACGAUACAAGGUUAACGUCAGACAAAAUUACCAAAUCAAGUAAUGAAGGACGUUGUUGGGAUCUAAAUCGUGUAGGUUCAGUGACUAUUUGUGACAAAUUAUUCUCCAAGAGCAAUUCAGAAAAUUGUUUUUCGAUGAUUGUUUGACCUGUUGUGUUUUUAGCAGACCAGUCUAUACAUGGAAAAUUGAAAUCUCCCAUGAUAAUUAAGUUAGGAUACUGAUUAAUAGUUGAUUGUAUGGUAUUAAAUAGAUUUUUAUCAUUUUCGUGAUUGUUAAAAGACGCUCCUGUUGGUGGUCUGUAAAUACAUGCUAUAACAAAGGUUUGUUCAUUUCCUUCAAAUUUUAACCAUAGAGAAUCAUAAGGUUUAACAGAUAUGCAAAUUUGAGUAAUUUUAAAAAAUUUUGAAAUUUUAAUUUUAUCUACAUAAAAACACACACCGCCACCUUUUUGAGAUAGGCGAUCAUCUCUGUAAAUAGAGUAAUUUUCAAUGUGUACAGCAUCAUCAGAGAUGGACCGAUUAAGCCAAGUCUCCGUGAGUGCGAUAAUAGAAGGUCUAAAUUCAGUUACUUCUAAUAACAAAUCAUUAAAUUUUGAAGAUAAAGAUGCGAUAUUCGUAUACAGAAGAGCCAUUGAACAAGGUAAUUUCCAGAGGAAACAACAACAACCACAUACACCCAGAUAUCAAAUUCAACAAUCAACACCAAGAAUCAACCACUGAAAAUGAAUCCCAAAGGCAAGAGCACGCAGAGACACGACUGCACUCUCAUACGC